rnacentral:rRNA from 1 species
CUAGCGACUUCAGAGUUUGAUCCUGGCUCAGAUUGAACGCUGGCGGCAUGCCUUACACAUGCAAGUCGAACGGUAACGGACCUUCGGGUGCCGACGAGUGGCGAACGGGUGAGUAAUACAUCGGAACGUGCCCGAUCGUGGGGGAUAACGAGGCGAAAGCUUUGCUAAUACCGCAUACGAUCUACGGAUGAAAGCAGGGGACCGCAAGGCCUUGCGCGGACGGAGCGGCCGAUGGCAGAUUAGGUAGUUGGUGGGAUAAAAGCUUACCAAGCCGACGAUCUGUAGCUGGUCUGAGAGGAUGAUCAGCCACACUGGGACUGAGACACGGCCCAG